GUGCUUGCUUUGGCAACACAUAUACAAAAAUUGGAACACUACAGAAGAUUACCAUGGCCCCUGCACAAGGAUGACACGCAAAUCCAUGACAUGUUCCACAUUUUU
ensembl:snRNA U6 U6 spliceosomal RNA